AGGCACGGAUUUAAGGGGGGGCUGGUGGGGGCUUAAGCCCCCCCCAAGCCUCCGGAAAACCCCCUAUAUAUAGGGGAUUCCAAAUGUUUGCUUCUAAAAUGCAGUAGGUAACUAGGUAGGUAGGUAGGUACUACCUUUUUCUUCCUAUGUGUCUCUUAGGAUACUGGUAUUAUUGUCUGAAAUUUUCAAUAGUUAUUUAUGUUUUCACCUGCUGGUGAUGUAAAAACUUGGAUUUUCC
rnacentral:lncRNA from 1 species